GGGCCCACCAAGGCGACGAUCAGUAGCCGACCUGAGAGGGUGAUCGGCCACAUUGGGACUGAGACACGGCCCAAACUCCUACGGGAGGCAGCAGUGGGGAAUAUUGCGCAAUGGGGGCAACCCUGACGCAGCAACGCCGCGUGAGCGAUGAAGGUUUUCGGAUCGUAAAGCUCUGUUCUGAGGGAAGAUAAUGACGGUACCUCAGGAGAAAGCCCGGCUAACUAC
rnacentral:rRNA from 1 species